rnacentral:tRNA from 1 species
CUCUGGGUGGUGCAAAAGGUUAACAUGCUUGGCUGCUAACCAAAAGGUUGAAGGUUGGAGUCCACCCAGAGA